rnacentral:misc_RNA from 1 species
UUUCCGAAGGUGAACCUGCGGAAGGAUCAUUAAAGAGAAUAUGCCCUUCGGGGUAGAUCUCCCACCCUUUGUUUAUAUUACCUUUGUUGCUUUGGCAGGCCCGUCUUCGGACCACCGGCUUCGGCUGGUCAGUGCUUGCCAGAGGACCCAAAACUCUUAUUAUUAAUGUCGUCUGAGUACUAUAUAAUAGUUAAAACUUUCAACAACGGAUCUCUUGGUUCUG